rnacentral:lncRNA from 1 species
CACCUUUUUGAGAUUUUAUCAAGUUAUCGACUUUUCUUUUUCUUUUAAGUUUUGAAUGACCGGAUUCAUAUUUUCUAGUUGACAUAUUAAAAUCUAACAAAUAUUUUAAACACUAUUUACAAUAUCAAAUAAAAAAUAUAAUAAACAUAAGACACAAAACAAAAAUAAUAUUAGAAAUUAGAAUGAUAUUACCGAAUUCAAAAGCUAUGAAGACUUGAUUUCCGAAAAUGAAUCGGGCUGCUGCAAUAUAGUUUUCUCCAAAUUUAAAAUAUAAACUAUCAAUAGAACGAGUAAUUUUUUU